ensembl:lncRNA
UCACUUGGUCGUAAGCUGAACGUAGAGUAUCGUCACGAGACUGCUCGAGUGGAAAAUCUUCCAUGGAGCGAAACCCGGGAGCCGGCGGAGUCUCUACGAGAGGCUUCAUCGCCUGGCGUAUACCCCCCUGGGUUCUUACCGGAACGCGGUACGUCGCUCCCAGCCCGGGGCCGGCAACCCGAAUCACCUGCCCCACCUCCAUCAGCGGACACUCUCUCCGGAGGUGUCCGGGCUGCCCGCACCUCCAACAUUCCUGCCCCGGCGUUUGAGAACCCCUCUGUGGGUCGGGAGGGCACCGGAGCUCUCUGCGGUCGGCGGGUAGCGGGCCGGAAGGAACGAUGUCCGUCGCGGGGCCGGCACGGGUCGCUCCACCGGCUGCGGCUGCCCCCCUCGCCGUCGCGCUGGUCAGGCCGGGGAUGGCGUACCCUCCUCGUCCCGCUGACCGCUGGGGUGCACCGCCAGGUGAUCCUCCGCGAGGGUGAUGGCCGCUUUGAGGGUCGGUGGGCGGUGGUAUCUCAUCCACGCUGCCGUCCGGGUCGAGAGCCCCUCCGCAAACUGCUCCAACGCCACCCUCUCCAACACGGCCUCAAUCCCCUCAUCGCCGUUAGGCAGCAGCCAUCUGUUCGCGGCGUCUUUGAGCCGCUGCCCGUACGCGAACGGCCGGUCACCUGGCUCCAACCUGGUCUGCCGAAACCGCCGGCGGUGGUCCUCUGGCAGCAGCCCCAGCCUGUCGACGACCGCCUUACGCACGGAUGCGUAGUUCCGCCGGGUCGCCGGUGGCAGCCCCAUGGCCGCCGUCUGCGCCUCCCCGGACAAGAGAGGCAAAAGCCGGACCGACCACUCCUCCGCCGGCCAGCUACACACCUCCGCCAUCGCCUCAAAGGCCUCCAAAAAGGACUGCGCAUCAUCCUCCGCCGUCAUGCGAUGGAGCGCCAGUCCGGCCAGCGCCGCGGGCCCGGGCGUUGGCUGAGCGUCGGCCGGUCGCGCCGUCAGUCGCUCCAGAGCCUGGGCCUGUCGUCCCACCUGGGCUUGGAGCGCCCCCAGGAACUGCCAAUUGGCCUCUGCCUGGUCCCGCUGGAUGACCGCCAGCUCGCCGAUCAUCCGACCCAGCGCCAAGAUCGGCUGGGUCGGCACCCCCUGCUGCUGCUCGUCGGUCAUCUCGCCGUCCCCCGUCCCUCGUUGGGCGCCACUGUCACAACGUAG